GCAUGGCCUUUUAAUUGGGCUGAUUGCAAGUCCAGUUUCAAAUAAGGAACCAUUUUUAUUAUGCAAGAGAAUAAAAAAAAGAAUUCAAGGCCGUUUGGGCCUAAUGUCGAGCCCAAAGACAAGAGUAAACUCAAGUAGAAGGAAGCCCAUCCUAAGUUCGACCAGGCUGUCCAACUCAGCCUUUGCCAGGCCCACAUACAACAAAAUCUAUCUUCUUUACAUCACAUGUAUAAUGUCAAAAUCAGCAUUGUAAAUCUGAUGCUUAAAUCAUGCUACUAACAGAGAUUAAACUUCAAGUUGAACCAACAUCAACUCGACUUAUCAAUAUGAAAUUAUAACAACUAGAUGAAUGGGGCACAAACAGUCCCAUAAAUGACUAUUAAACAUAAGUUAUGGGCUGGAAUCACAAAUCCUGCUUGCCUAAUUAAAUAUUUGUUUUAUUAAUAGUCUAUUUUACAUAUUCAAAAUCUCUAAUAAUGUUUAAGUAAUAAAAAUGUUUAACACAACAUGACACCUCUAACCUGAGGUUGAAUAUCUAAAUCAUAAACAUUAGGGAGAAGUGAUUAGGCAUGAUAUGACUAGUAUGCGAGUUUCCGAGGACACGACCCUUGAUAGGAAAGUCUGGAGAUCUAGUAUCAGGGUUGUAGGGUAGGGGCUCCUAGAGUUUUACGUUCUCCUCAUCCGGGGUGGGGUGAGGCUUGGCAGGACUAACCAUAGAUGAUUUGUGUUUUGGAUUGUGUCUCCCUUAUGGUAGUUAUGUCUCCCUUAUGGUAGUUAUUUAUGGUAGUUAUGGUAGUUACUGUCUGUUAUUACUGCACGCUGUUUUAUUUAUGGUCCUUAUGUUUAGAUAAUUAUUUACGCUAUUUCUGUUGGAGUUACUAAUACUCUUUUGUUCUUGUUUUGGUUUGUUUUUGUUUUUCUUUUCUUUCGCUGAGCGAGGGUCGAUUGGAAACAGCCUCUCUGCCCUUUCGGAUAGGAGUAAGGUCCGUCUACAUAUUACUCUCCCCAGACUCCACCUUAUGGGACUAUACUAGGUAGUUGUUGUUGUUGUUUUAGAGUUCAAGACAUACCUGAAAGCAGCAAAGAAAAAAAAAAGCUUCAGCUAAGAAAUAUGUGACAACAGUAGCUACACUAGAUUUAUUCCAUAUUCAACCCAGGACUUCAAUAAAAUCUAAGUGUUUUUGCUAGCCAACUAAAGAGACUCAGCCAACUAAUGAAAUAGUGACUGAGUUUUUUUCUUGGUGUAUUUUUUGCUCUGAAAAUCU
rnacentral:lncRNA from 1 species